rnacentral:rRNA from 1 species
GAAGGGGGCUAGCGUUGCUCGGAAUUACUGGGCGUAAAGGGAGCGUAGGCGGACAUUUAAGUCAGGGGUGAAAUCCCAGAGCUCAACUCUGGAACUGCCUUUGAUACUGGGUGUCUUGAGUGUGAGAGAGGUAUGUGGAACUCCGAGUGUAGAGGUGAAAUUCGUAGAUAUUCGGAAGAACACCAGUGGCGAAGGCGACAUACUGGCUCAUUACUGACGCUGAGGCUCGAAAGCGUGGGGAGCAAACAGGAUUAGAUACCCUGGUAGUCCACGCCGUAAACGAUGAUUGCUAGUUGUCGGGAAGCUUGCUUUUCGGUGACGCAGCUAACGCAUUAAGCAAUCCGCCUGGGGAGUACGGUC